AAAAAGGUGCUGUGUGCAGGGAAAAUAUAAAGACAGAAUUAUGAGCAGGUGGUUGGGGAGUAUGUGAGGAAGAGAACAGACAUCUAUUAAGAGUCUCUUAUAUACUAGGCACUGUGGUACAUACUUAACAUAAGAGCAUGUAGUUGUCAUAAGAUAAGAAGAGAGAGCUAGGGAGUUCCAAUUCACUCUUACAGCAUAAUCCAAACCCAUAGCUCUAGAAAAUAGGCCUAUUCCCAGAGAAGAGUCCUCAAAACUGUUGUGGUUUUUGGUCCGAUUAAGGAAGUGACAUGUUAUCCAUAAGCAGGAACUAUUCCUGACCUGUACCUGAAAUUCUACCAUUCUAUUUGCUCUUUCAGUUUAAACAUUUGCCCUCAGUUCCAAAGCAAACUCCUGAGUGAAAGAUCCAAGAGCCCCUUUGGCUGAACUGUAGAAAGUGAAUGUUCUGGUUUGAAUGUUUGUCCCCUCUAAAACUCAUGUUGAAAGUUAAUCCCCAAUGUAACAGCAUUAAGAGGUGGGACCUGUAAGAGAUAAUUGGGUCAUGAGGGCAUGAGCCCUCAUUAUGUGUUAAUAGAUUAUUAAUAAGUCAUCAUGUGAGUGAAUUAGUUAUCAUGAGAGUGGAUCUGUUAUAAAAGCCAGGUCAGCUCUCUCACAAGCCCUCCUGCCUGGUGAUGCUUUCUUCCAUGGUAUGGUGCAGCAAGCAGGCCCUCACCAGAAGCUGAGCAGAUGCUGGUGCCAUGCCCCUGGGCUUCCCAGCCUCCAAAACUGUAAGAAAUGAAUUUAUUCCUUAUAAAUUACCCAGUCUCAGGUAUUCAAUUACAGCAACAGGAAACAGAAUAAGACAGUGAGCAUGACAGCAAAUAACCAAAGAGAUGAGUGUUUGUAGAUGACAUAUUUGUGGCAAUAUGACUUGCCUGUGGUAUCCUGGGGGUGUCCAGGAAACCUCACAGAAUGUGACUGCCACAAGCUUGGUAUCUUCUUUACACAUCAUGGGUUCAAUAUAGAACACUAAGCAACACUAAGCAAUGUCCAGGAAUUCUAAUGGGAAGCUGGUUGCAGCAGAAGCAAAAGCUUCUCUGGAGGACACUGAGAGUCUUGGUGAGCAAGAAAACAAUGGCAGAAUAGAUACUCCUUCAGGAGCCCUUUAUUUUACAAAGUUGGAAGGAACGGGGCUUCAUAAUACCCAGGCAACCUUCCAAUUUAAAAAGUUUAUAGGCUCCAUCUGUCCCAGAAGAGGCUUCUCUGAGUUUCCUCAUUUAUUGUCCCUACCAUUAUGCUCUGCCUAUCCCCACCUCUUCUGUAUUCUAUUUGCUGCUCCCCAAUUCCCACCUCUCUGGGUAGUUCUUGCCCAUUCUAGCCACUCAUUCUUCCCCUAAUUGCUUACAUCAGAAAGCAGCACAGAUCACUAGGCUGGGAACUAGGGCACUUAACCCUGCCACUUUCCAGCUAUGAGGCCCUAGAUAAGUCUGAGCCUUAGUUUCACAGUUUGGAAGUACAUGGCGUCCAGGUUCCUUAUACCUAAAAAUGGGAUCAUUCUUUCAUGCUUUGAGAUUUAACUUAAGGUCUACAUUCUCUAGCAAGCCAUUUCUAUUUGUCCACCCCUUUCUUGUCCUCUUUUAUAUUAUAUUGUCCUUAUUGAUGGACCCACACAUUUAUAAUAUAAGGACAAUACUGUGUUUUCUAACACAAUAUUAGGAAUGUUAAAAGUCUUGUUUCU
rnacentral:lncRNA from 10 species